rnacentral:rRNA from 1 species
GAUGAACGCUGGCGGCGUGCCUAAUACAUGCAAGUCGAGCGAACAGACGAGGAGCUUGCUCCUCUGACGUUAGCGGCGGACGGGUGAGUAACACGUGGAUAACCUACCUAUAAGACUGGGAUAACUUCGGGAAACCGGAGCUAAUACCGGAUAAUAUAUUGAACCGCAUGGUUCAAUAGUGAAAGACGGUUUUGCUGUCACUUAUAGAUGGAUCCGCGCCGCAUUAGCUAGUUGGUAAGGUAACGGCUUACCAAGGCGACGAUGCGUAGCCGACCUGAGAGGGUGAUCGGCCACACUGGAACUGAGACAUGGUCCAGACUCCUACGGGAGGCAGCAGUAGGGAAUCUUCCGCAAUGGGCGAAAGCCUGACGGAGCAACGCCGUGUGAGUGAUGAAGGUCUUCGGAUCGUAAAACUCUGUUAUUAGGGAAGAACAAAUGUGUAAGUAACUAUGCACGUCUUGACGGUACCUAAUCAGAAAGCCACGGCUAACUACGUG